GGUUUGCGUGACAGUCUACGAUCCCGAAACAUCUUCAACUAUCGGUUUUUAUUGUUUAUUUUUCUUCGAUUGUUUUCCGGUAUUUGACUCAUAAUCGUGAGGUCGGGAGUUCAAGUCUCCCCCGAACCACCA
rnacentral:tRNA from 1 species